GGGUAACCGGAAGGCAUAUUUAGUGGCGAACGGGUGAGUAAUGCAUGAGAACGUAUCCUCAAGAGGGGGACAACAUUGGGAAACCGAUGCUAAUACCCCAUAAGCCGGGAGGUAAAAGGAGCAAUCCGCUUGAGGAGCGGUUCAUGUCCUAUCAGCUAGUUGGUGAGGUAACGGCUCACCAAGGCGAAGACGGGUAGCCGGCCUGAGAGGGUGAACGGCCACACUGGAACUGAGAGACGGUCCAGACUCCUACGGGAGGCAGCAGUGGGGAAUAUUGGGCAAUGGGGGAAACCCUGACCCAGCGACGCCGCGUGAGGGAAGAAGGCCUUAGGGUCGUAAACCUCUGUUGUGUGGGAAGAAGAGCGUGACGGUACCACACGAGGAAGUCCCGGCUAACUACGUGCCAGCAGCCGCGGUAAUACGUAGGGGACGAGCGUUGUCCGGAUUUACUG
rnacentral:rRNA from 1 species